AAUGAACGCUGGCGGCGUGCUUUACACAUGCAAGUCGAGCGAGGCGGGUAGCAAUACCCAGUCGAGCGGCGAACGGGUGAGUAACGCGUGGAUAACCUGCCCAGAGGUGGGGGAUAACCCGGGGAACUCGGGCUAAUACCGCAUAUGACCGUGAGGUCAAAGGGGGCUCGCAAGAGCUCUCGCCAUUGGAGGGGUCCGCGUACGAUUAGCUAGUUGGUAGGGUAAUGGCCUACCAAGGCGACGAUCGUUAGCCGGCCUGAGAGGGUGAUCGGCCACACUGGAACUGAGACACGGUCCAGACUCCUACGGGAGGCAGCAGUGGGGAAUUUUGCGCAAUGGGCUAACGCCUGACGCAGCAACGCCGCGUGGAGGAUGAAGGUCUUUGGAUUGUAAACUCCUGUCAG
rnacentral:rRNA from 1 species